UGGGGAAUAUCGGACAAUGGGCGAAAGCCUGAUCCAGCCAUGCCGCGUGUGUGAAGAAGGUCUUCGGAUUGUAAAGCACUUUAAGUUGGGAGGAAGGGCAGUAAGCGAAUACCUUGCUGUUUUGACGUUACCGACAGAAUAAGCACCGGCUAACUCUGUGCCAGCAGCCGCGGUAAUACAGAGGGUGCAAGCGUUAAUCGGAAUUACUGGGCGUAAAGCGCGCGUAGGUGGUUCGUUAAGUUGAAUGUGAAAGCCCCGGGCUCAACCUGGGAACUGCAUCCAAAACUGGCGAGCUAGAGUAGGGCAGAGGGUGGUGGAAGUUCCUGUGUAGCGGUGAAAUGCGUAGAUAUAAGAAGGAACACCAGUGGAGAAGGCGACCACCUGGGCUCAUACUGACACUGAGGUGCGAAAGCGUGGGGAGCAAACAGG
rnacentral:rRNA from 1 species